GCCGACAUAGCUCAGUUGGUAGAGCAACUGUUUCGUAAACAGUAGGUCGCCAGUUCGAUUCUGGCUGUCGGCUCCA
rnacentral:tRNA from 2 species